rnacentral:rRNA from 1 species
CUCCUUUGACGUUAGCGGCGGACGGGUGAGUAACACGUGGGUAACCUACCUAUAAGACUGGGAUAACUUCGGGAAACCGGAGCUAAUACCGGAUAAUAUUUCGAACCGCAUUGUUCGAUAGUGAAAGGUGGUUUUGCUAUCACUUAUAGAUGGACCCGCGCCGUAUUAGCUAGUUGGUAAGGUAACGGCUUACCAAGGCUACGAUACGUAGCCGACCUGAGAGGGUGAUCGGCCACACUGGAACUGAGACACGGUCCAGACUCCUACGGGAGGCAGCAGCC